UCCGUCAUUUGAUGAAACACAAAAAUCAAGCAUAGUUCACACUGAAACUAUCGUGUUGACAACCAAGCAUCACGUCUUUCGCUCCUAUCUGAUAUUUCCUC
rnacentral:snoRNA from 1 species